rnacentral:rRNA from 1 species
GACGUAGGGCGCGAGCGUUGUCCGGAUUUAUUGGGCGUAAAGAGCUCGUAGGCGGUUUGUCGCGUCGUCUGUGAAAUCCCACGGCUCAACUGUGGGCUUGCAGUCGAUACGGGCAGGCUAGAGUUCGGUAGGGGAGACUGGAAUUCCUGGUGUAGCGGUGAAAUGCGCAGAUAUCAGGAGGAACACCGGUGGCGAAGGCGGGUCUCUGGGCCGAAACUGACGCUGAGGAGCGAAAGCGUGGGGAGCAAACAGG